GGAAGGUUGGCAGAGUGGUUUAAUGCAACAGCUUGGAAAGCUGUGAUCGAGUAAAAUCGAUCCACAGGUUCGAUUCCUGUAUCUUCCG
rnacentral:tRNA from 1 species